CCCAGAAGAUAAAAGCUCCUAGGAGUUACUGUGUCGUGUUUGGAUACUUGAAAGAAAAUGACACUUUGGAGCCUUAAAAAGUGGACUUUCCUUCUGAAGUACCCAGGAGAGUAGGUACAGAAGAUAUCAAGAUAUAUAAUUCCAGUUUUAAGGAGCUGACACGUUCAUAGCAGCACUGCUUACAGUAGACAAAAAGGUGAAUAUGGCCCAAAUUCCAUCAACAGAAGAAUGAAUAAACAAAGUGUGGCAUAUCCAUACAAUGGGACUUUAUUCAG